GCCACCAUGGUCUAGCGGUUAGAACGCUGGCCUUGUAAGCCUGGGAUCCCGGGUUCGAUUCCCGGCUGUGCCC
rnacentral:tRNA from 1 species